CUCUUCGGUUCUAAGUUCUGGCCGUUUCGACAACCUUCAUGAUCUCUAUAUCAAUAAUUGUUUGAUAAAAGAUUUGACAUGCCUCAGAUAUGCUACACGGCUUAGAUUUGUUUUUGCUGAAAAUUGUCCCUUACUUGUAGAAUUAAUUGCCAAUGAAUUGAGCUCUGCAUCAGGAGACCCCAACAUGUUUAAAAAUCUGAAGCUGUUGAAUUUUCGUGAUCUACCACUUUUAAAGAGCAUAUGUCGAGUCAUGCACUUCCCUUCCCUGGAGAGGAUAUGGGUAGUUAGAUGCCCAAGUCUAACAAAACUCCCACUUGACGUUUUCAACGAGAAUAACAGCAGAAUUUCGAUAGUGGGAGAUAAAAAGCGGUGGGAUAAGCUGGAAUGGGAGAAUUCGAGUUCAAAAGUUUCUUAUCCCUCUAUGCAUCAGACAGCACAGUCUUGUUCCUACAAUUUUCCACAUUUCACAGAAAGUAAGAGGCCGUCAUACACGGCAAGUUAUACUUAUGAAGCAACAAAGUUUGAAAGUGAAUCACAAUGCAGUAUCCUGUAAUUCAUAAAAUUGGAGGAUUUUCUAAAUCAGAUGCAGUUGGACUUGUGAACUACUCGACACUUUAUGAUACUCAUCGUUCUCUAUUAUUUGAGGGUUACGUGAAGAUUGGAUCAAUAAUCGUACCAAUUGCAAGUUUGGACUCGACUCACUCCUUAUUGUUCUUGUGUAGCU